AAUAAAGUUGUUUGCGAUCGGGGAAAAACUAAAUAUGACACUGAGUCUGAAGAACAUCUGACAGCAGCAAUUUCACCUGGAGAUAUCAAGCUGGGCGCAUCUUCUGAAAGAGAGAAAAGGCAGUCCCGAUGCUUGCAUGUGCCCUUUGUCCACAUGCAUCGCCCCUGCGCAAUGGAGGCUCGCAAAGCCGUUCGUCAGGUUCGCCAUCGCGGCCUCCCUGGGCCUGAAAAACAACGACACCAGAGCACCGGGAUUGAUCAAAAACCUCGAAUUUCACAGAGCAGAGGCAGAAGAAGCAAGAUUAAUCCCGAGGAACAAGGGGCAGGAGAAGCAAGAAUUCCGAGGAAACAACGAGGCAACGUUGUGGGAUCGUUCCUGGGCGACAAGAGGAGGAGAUCUAAUCAUCCCGGCGACAAAAUAAUAAUAAAGAAACUUUUGAGAGAUCGGAUCAGACAAAUUAACUGAGAAGCCACAUGGAGGAGUGUAGAAGGGAGAAGAGGACUGAACUCUCACCUGUCUCUGUGCAAGAGACGCUAGCUCCAAUGGCAAUGAGACGACGAGGAGAGGAAGAAGGUCGGGAAUUCCAAAAAAAGCAGCGCUGGAAUCACGGCCUUUGGCACUCCGAAAAGCGCGAGCGGGGCGAUGGAGCCGCUCGGGCUGGCAGCGGUUUAUUGCGGAGGGGCGGCAGCGAGAGAAGCCACGGGGGGAAAAGGGUGUGAGGGAGAGGGACAGGUGGGGAGCCAGCGGCUGCCAGCCAAAGAAAGGCAGCGAGCGUGGGAGUGCCGGGAGAGAGAUGGUUUAAUGGCGCUUCCGUUUGGCUCAGAAAGGGAAAAAAAAGACUAGGCGAGGAAAAUUCCUGGCACCCCAAUGCGCCACAUCGCCGUCGAAGACCGGUGACGACGCCGCCGCCACCUCGGCUCGCGUAGUCGUGUGAGCGUGGUGCCAUGAUACCCUUUCUCUUUUCUCGCAUGGACCGGAAGGUUCACCGGAUCCUGGGCGUCGACGCCGUGGGCCACCGCCCGUGCUCGCUUUUCGCGUUCUGGCUUCUGGGG
rnacentral:misc_RNA from 1 species